ACAGUCACUGACAUUAGAUACCCGUGUAGUCCAGGGUGUAAACGCUGCAGACUUGGUGUUGGAAGUCCUUUGGGGGGCAUUCAGUGCCGGAGAGAAGUUGUUAAGUCUGCUACUUGGGGAGUACGUCCGCAAGGAUGAAACUUAAAGGAAUUGGCGGGGGAGCACCGCAACGGGAGGAGCGUGCGGUUUAAUUGGAUUCAACACCGUAAAACUCACCAGGGAAGACUGUUACAUGAAAGCCGAGAUGAAGACUCUGCUAGAUUUUCAG
rnacentral:rRNA from 1 species